rnacentral:rRNA from 1 species
UAAGGAAUAUUGGUCAAUGGACGCAAGUCUGAACCAGCCAUGCCGCGUGAAGGAUUAAGGCCCUCUGGGUUGUAAACUUCUUUUAUAGGGGAAGAAAUGUGACGGUUCUCCGUCACUUGACGGUACCCUGGGAAUAAGCACCGGCUAACUCCGUGCCAGCAGCCGCGGUAAUACGGAGGGUGCAAGCGUUAUCCGGAUUCACUGGGUUUAAAGGGUGCGUAGGUGGGCAGAUAAGUCAGUGGUGAAAUCUUCCGGCUUAACCGGGAAACUGCCGUUGAUACUAUUUGUCUUGAAUAUUGCGGAGGUAAGCGGAAUAUGUCAUGUAGCGGUGAAAUGCUUAGGUAUGACAUAGAACACCAAUUGCGAAGGCAGCUUACUACACAAUCAUUGACGCUGAGGCACGAAAGCGUGGGGAUCAAACA